ensembl:lncRNA
UGAUGAGAUUAAUCCAAAUCAAGUUCUCUGGACUAUGUUUAAAAACAACUUUAAUCACAUACACUAUUGACACUAUGUAUAAAGUAGAUGUCUACUGAGAACAUACCUCACAAAGCUGUACAACACCCAGUAUUAUUUCCGGGGCACGCUGUGUAGAGGUUUCAAGCCAAAAGCAGUUUCUUCUGUUUAUUGCUUUAAGUAUCUUUCUAAAAGUUAGGAGACGAAAGUAGAGAGAGGGAAAGUUUCUAUUUAGAUUGUCUCCACUUAGAAAGUCUCCAAUGGACCAAACUAAGAAAAAGAUGACCCUUGAACAACACGAAUUUGAACUGUGCAGGUCCAGUUAAACUUGGAUUUUUUUUCCAGUGGUAAACAUUUCAGUACUACACCAUCUGUGGCUGAUUGAAUCUGCUGACACAGAGGAGCCAUAGCUGAGGAAUCGAGUAUAUGGAGGGCCCACUUGUCACUAGUGGUAAAGAACCCACCUGCCGAUACUGGAGACAUGAGACGUGGGUUUGAUCCCUGGGUCAGGAAGAUCCCCUGGAGAAGAGCAUGGCAACCCACUCUAGUAUUCUUGCCUGGAGAAUCCCAUGGACAGAGGAGCCUGGCAGGCUACAGUCCAUAGCGUCACAAAGAGCUGGACAUGACGGAAGAGAUCUAGCAUGUGCGCAAUAUAAAUUAUGGCUGAAAUUUUAGACUGGGUCAAGGGUCAAAACCACUAACCCCAGCCUUGCUCCAGGGUUAACUGUACAUGUUGUCUGCUCCUCUUGUUUUCGUUUUUGUUUUUUUCCUUUUUUCCUGGCACCCUUAGAAAGAGGAAUGUGAGAGAGAUGACAGGGCUUUUAAUUCUUGUCCAAAGAAUUCCAGGGUAUUUCAGUUGUAAUAUUUGUUCUCUUUCACCAAACUUAAAGUAGCCUGGGAGUGAGUGUCUGAAAGCAUCUGAUAAAAUGACAUGCACAGAGCUGAUGCGAUCGACCUUGUGCAUAUCUUCCCCCUCCUCUAAGAGCGCACAGAAGCAGUUGCUAAUCCUGGACUUAAUGUAAGAGCCUUUAGGAUGGGGUACUGCAAAACUCUCUCCAACCAAUUCAUAAGUGCACUUGGAUUCCUGAAGACUGCCAAGGCCUAAAAAGUCCUUGAUUUGUGAGUUUGGGCAGGGACUGUUGGCUGUCACCCAAUGCUUCUUCUGUAGCAAUAAACUUUACACACCCUAGUUUCUAGCUAAGCAUUUGUGUGCUCGCAAUAAACAAUAUUAUUGUCAGCUUCUCUUGAGUCCAGUUGUGAAUAUGUGACUAAGAUUUAGACAAUGGGGUGUAAAUGGCAGUGUCAAUUGUGUUGGGAACCUACCUUAAGGAUCAGAUGAUAGGCAUCCUUUUCCUCAUUUUUGGGGGGGUGGGUUGUUUGUUUGUUUUUGUCCCUUCCUCUAUCUUGCUGCCUAGAACACAGAUGCGAAGGCUGGAGUUCAACCCAUUAUACUGGAUCACAAGGACGAAAGUCCCUAGGGACUGCAGAAAGGAGGACUACAAAGAACUUGGUCCCCUAGGACCUCAUGAGGCAGAAUUGCUGCUCUGCCUUCCAGCAGUCAUUUGUGAGAGAGAGAAAUCAACUCACAGGGGAUGUGGGUUCGAUCCCUGGUCUGAGAACUGAGAUCCCCUAUGCCAUCAGGCAACUAAAUCCAUGUGAUACAACUAGAGAAGUCUGUGCACCACAGCAAAGAUCCAACUCAGUCAAAAAAGAAAAUUAUAAGGGGGAGAAAAUACAUUUACAGAUUGUACUGUAUUUAUUAAU